UACGUAGGGACCAAGCGUUGUUCGGAUUUACUGGGCGUAAAGGGCGCGUAGGCGGCAAUUCAAGUCAUCUGUGAAAUCUCCGGGCUUAACUCGGAAUGGUCAGGUGAUACUGCUUUGCUAGAGUGCAGAAGGGGCAAUCGGAAUUCUUGGUGUAGCGGUGAAAUGCUUAGAUAUGACAUAGAACACCAAUUGCGAAGGCAGCUGGCUACACAUAUAUUGACACUGAGGCACGAAAGCGUGGGGAUCAAAACAGG
rnacentral:rRNA from 1 species